AAUUCCAGGCAGUGCCCAUCAUCCCAGGCUGAGGACUCCCUGAGCCAGAGCCAUCAGCUCCUAGGGGGGUAAGUAUCCCAGGGAAUUUUAUCCACUCCCUGUUGCCACUGAAAGCCACCCAACACUGGACCCUUGGCCCUAUCUCCCUCCACAGCCCUGCCCAGUGACCCCUCCUAGUGCCCCCAGCUCCUCCUGGGCCUCUCAGUUGUACCCAUGUGUUCCCCUGGAGCCCCUGGAAAGGGUAACUGUGUGUUCCAGCUCCUGGGAGCCAGUGGUGGGUACAGGGGUGGGGAAGGCUGCCCUGUACUGAGUUGGGUUGGGUGACAGAGUGGGAACGCUGAGCAGCCUGCUGGGGGCAGAGAGGCUGGCACACCAGCUGUGCCCCCACCCGCAUCCCCAGCCCAGAUGCAAGGGGUGCAUCUGAGGCGGUCUUUGUACCCCUGCAGGGGGAAAGUAGUGGCCCCAUCAUCAGCCCUGGAUCUGGGUGAAGCCAGGAGUGAUACGGAUGCAAGGCCUGAGAGCCCCAGCAUGCCUGCAGAAGAGCCCACACCAGGUUGCUUACAAGAGCUGAACCCCACCACCAGCAGUUGCUUUGGGGAACCAGGAAAUGCAGAGUUCAAGGACCUGGCCCAGAGGGAAGAGAGGGGGCAGGCAGAGCCCAUGCCCCAGAGGCCCCAUCCACCAUCACCCAGAAGCCCACAGGAGGAACAGCUUGCUCAGGGAGCCCCAGGGCCUUCAGCCCUCCCCUCCCAGGGCCUGCCGGAACCCCAGGAUUCCCCAGAGGCACAGGGCUGGAGCCUGAGUCCGGAGACAGCAGAACUUCAGAAAGUGCUAAGGACUGAGAUUCCUCAGGGUCAGAGAGGGGAGGCCCUCCAGGGGGAGGACGAAGAAGUUCCUCAGAGGAAGAGAGAGAAGACACACCAGGAUCAGAGCCGGGAGGCCACUCCGGCCCCGAGGGAAGAGGUCCCUGAAGGUCCAAGGACAGAGGCGCCUCAAGGUCAAAGCGGAAGUCGCGCUAAGUGCCGGAGAAAGGACGCCCUGCAGGAGGCCCAGGAGGAUUCUCCCAAGGGCCUUCCGUCUUUCGAGGGCCGAGGCCGUGUCCCCCAAGCCUGGGAGGUGGCUGGGGGAGAAGGGGAGGAAGGCGGCUCCCUGAGAAUUGGGGGGCACUUCUGCAGGUCUCUGGGAGAACAGAUGCCCCGGCCCGGGGGAAAGACCGCUCAGCUGAUGCCGGUUAAGACCGAUGACCAGAAAGCAGAGACCACACCGGCCGCGGGAGAGCAGGGGCCCGCCGGGGAGGGAGCGCGAG
rnacentral:lncRNA from 1 species